rnacentral:misc_RNA from 1 species
UUGAUCUAUUAGUUUUGUUUGUUUAGACAAAAAAAUUUUGUUGAGUUUAACCUUUCGGUGACCAUGCGGCCACCGAAGCAAGUUGUUUUUAAAAAAUUCACAGAAAGAAGAUAAUCAAAUUCGGUAAUGAUCCUUCCGCAGGUUCACCUACGGAAA